AACAAGCCGGGUUGCCAGCGCGCGCGGGCCGUUGCUGGUCUGCCUGGCUCGCGCGGGGCCGUUGGAGCCUCUCCCGGGGCUGGAGAAGUUUGUCUGACUGAGAUCAGGGCGCUUAUCGUACUGAGCAUGGCCCUGUUCUGCCAGGCGCUGCGGAGACCCUAACUGCGAUCUGGGCCUAGUUCUGCCAGGCGCUGAAGAGACCCCAGGCUGCAGGAUGUCGUCCAUGUUUCGCUCCAGCUCAUCCCAUCCUCCCAUGGGACAGGGAAGGGAAACGACUGCAGAAGAGCCAGUUCAGGGGCCGGUGACCUUCAAGGAGGUGGCUGUGUAUUCCCCC